rnacentral:rRNA from 1 species
CACGUAGUUAGCCGGUGCUCCUUCUCCAGGUACCGUCACUUGCGCUUCGUCCCUAGCGAAAGGAGUUUACAACCCGAAGGCCGUCAUCCCCCACGCGGCGUCGCUGCAUCAGGCUUGCGCCCAUUGUGCAAUAUUCCCCACUGCUGCCUCCCGUAGGAGUCUGGGCCGUAUCUCAGUCCCAAUGUGGCCGUACACCCUCUCAGGCCGGCUACCCGUCGACGCCUUGGUAGGCCAUUACCCCACAACAAGCUGAUAGGCCGCGAGCUCAUCCCACACCGAAAAACUUUCCACAAUGGCAUCCAAACCAUCGUCCUAUCCGGUAUUAGACCCAGUUUCCCAGGCUUAUCCCGAAGUGCAGGGCAGAUCACCCACGUGUUACUCACCCGUUCGCCACUCGAGUACCCCUGCAAGCAGGAGCCUUUCCGUCGACUUGCAUGUGUUAAGCACGCCGCCAGCGUUCAUCCUGAGCCAGGAUCAAACUCU